ensembl:lncRNA
AUAACACUGUAGGAGGUCUCUAUUUAAGAGUUUAUUACCAACUCUCAGUACAACAUCGUCUGUACUGUCAGCAGCAGUUACACUGUUACUUUGACACCUGGACAAAUAUGGAUGCACUGAAGCUGUACUUAAUUCUUCUUAUACCACUAACUGCAUGUUCACAAGAUUUGGGAGGAGAAACUGUUGUGAAAACAAUUGGGAAACAACCAGAUGUCACUCAAAUAUGCACCAAUGAAACACAGAACAUGAUCACACUGAUAGUUUGUACGAUCAGAACUCAGAGAAGUGGAGGAGGAUAUUGUAGUCUGCUGUAUGAACAUGCACGGGGCUUUGAACAGAAAUGUGACUCCAGGUUCACACUGAUGAAAGAAAAUCAGACUGUGUUUCUCCACCUGAUCAAUUUAACAUCAGAGGACAGUGGGAGCUACACCUGUCAGUGUACAACUCCUGGAAGAACAAAUAUUUUCCAUCUUAAUGUCACUGUGGAAGUGGCUGUUCAAGGUCAGAAACAGCUGGACUAUCAGUGAAUGAGACUCACGGCUCUUUGGAUGAAGAUGUCCAAGAUGAUUCUUACACAAACCUUCAGCAUCCAACAAAUGAUGUCUACCAAACUAUCACCUCAGAUCACCCUCAGCAUGACAUCACUACAAAUUAAGAAUAUUAAGUGUCUGUUGUUGUGAUUAUUCAGCCAGAAGAACAGAAGCUGUCAGAAGCUGACAACGUUUAAACAUUUUGAAACAUGUAAAACUGCACAUGUACACAUGAGUAAUAUUGGUCUGAUAUAAAUAUUUUUGGAUUAUCAUUAUGACAAGACACCUCAUUUACUCUGGACACAUGUUUUAUAAUAACUGAGGUCAUUCAGUCUUAACACUCCAACUCUGUGAAACAGGUUCACAGAUGCGUCCUUUUGCAAAUACAAACUAACUGUGUCAAUAUGAAUCCUUGUGUUUUUGAAAGUUUAUGAAAACUAACAUUUCACCAUCGUCCGCUCUUAAUUCCAGACAUGAGUUUGUUUCUAAACUAAAACUAAACAGUUAAAAACAGAGAAAAACUCUUCCUGGGUUUUUCUUCUGUAUUCAUGUGUUUACUCACUGUUUUAACAUUUAAGGCAUCCAAACAUAUGAGAAUUUGAGGUGUAAAUUACUGAGGGGUGCAGGUC